GCAGAGGCGGGAGAGAAGAAGGUGGGCGGAGCUUCUGUUCCAAAAUUUUACCCCCAAGUGCGUUUCACAGUGUGCAGGCGGGUGGGGAGUGAGGGGCCACGGUCAACGACCAGGGAACCCUUUGGCGAAGCCAGAGAUGUAGUAUAAACGUGAAUGGAUGUCCAGGCUGCGCCGUUUCGCCGGCCGCUGGGCAGAGGUACUAGGGAGGCGCCUGCAGGAGCUCUGGCGAGGAUGCACCUUCCCCUGCCUUGGAAAGCAGACAGGAAGGCGGUGGAGAGAUGGAACAGUGUUCUCAUUCUGAGAUUGUAUCUCUAACAGAAGACGAGAACAAAGCAAAAGGUGUGUCAUUCUUGGAUGGGAAUGCUCAGCAUGAUAAAGAUGGCAAGUAAAUCUACACCUUUAACAUGAAAUUUAUACCUUUACACUAACUUCUGAUAAGUUCUGAUUGUCCUAUUUUAUUCCAUUGCUCUAUCAGUUUCAGCACUCAGGACCAAAUUAUUUUAAUUACUAUAAAUUUAGAGUAUGUUUUAAUUGCUGGUAACACUAACCCUGCACACCCUGACUGGUCCCUUUUUCACAAUUUUUCUGGCUUCUUUUGCUCACCUUUCUUCCUCAUAUGAAUUUAAAAUGAAUUUGUCUAGAUGCAAAUAUAAUUUCUAUUGGCAUUAAACAAAUAAAGUGAAACCUUCAUCUCACAUCUUUUUUUGCAUGUUCUUGAUAAAUGUUUAUUUAUUGUAGAAUUCUAGGAGUGGGGUCUUCUGGGGGAAUGUAGACGAAAACAGAAGUUUUUUUUUGUUCAGAGAGGUUUUGUCUCUCGUGGGAUUGUGUAAGCAUUAAGAUAGUUUCAAAAACUUGGGCCUUAGGCAAACAUGAGCUCUCCUGCUAGUUCUCAUCUGCAGGCCCUGGCAACAGAAAGCUGCUAGAAGCCAGGACAAGUGAGAAUACAGAGUGAAUAAAGCCAGCCUCUUGGAAACCCAGCCCCUCAGUCCAUUUGGGCCUCUAAAAUGCCUCCCAUUUCUGGGUUGCCUCCUGGGAUUGAAAUGUUUUACGGUUACAACACAAGAUGCUCUUCCACUAUUGUACUUGACCAAACUACUUUUCUCAAAGUGACAUGAGCUCUUAAAGUUUAUGUUCUCUGGUUCCUAUUGUAGUAAUAACAGAAAAAAAGGGA